AGACAUCUGUUCCUUUAAUAUGAUAUUUUAUAUCAUGUUAGAUUUCAGAAUGUCUUAGAAUAAAUGAAUUGCUUCACCCAGAAUUGUAAUAUAUUUUACACUGUCUGGUUUUUGCGGGUUCAAACAAAU
rfam:Melipona quadrifasciata isolate 0111107301 unplaced genomic scaffold scaffold84, whole genome shotgun sequence.